rnacentral:rRNA from 1 species
AUGGCUUACCUCCAGCAAGCGCCGGCAUGGUUCCUCUGGCUGGUAUCCCUCGGCGCCCUAUACGUCUCGGCAUUGUUGCCCCGCCUCCUCGUCUACCUCACGCACUGCCUGCGCCGGCCCGAGGACCUCCGCCUGCGCUACGGCACGUGGGCGGUCGUCACCGGCCCGACGUCUGGCAUCGGCCGGUCCGUGGCCCUGGAGCUCGCACGCCGGGGCCUCAACCUUGUUCUGGUUGACCUCGAUGCCGCCAAUCUCCACGAAGUCUCCGGCACGAUCAUGUCUCGACACGCCGUGCAGACCAUGGCCGUGGUAUUCGACCUCUCGCUUGUCUCCACUCCUAAAGGUGACGAGGCGUUGCGGCGGCUCCGGGAUGCCGUGAAGAAGCUGGAUGUGGGGAUUCUGGUGAACAACGCCGGGAUAGCGAAGCCGGGUGCGGUGUUCCUGCAUGAGGCCGACGUGGAGGCGUGGGUGAGGAUGAUUCGCGUGAACCUGUGGGCGGUGACGGAGGUGACCGCCGCGGUGCUGCCCGGGAUGUUGCGGCGGGGCAGGGGCGCCAUCAUCAACAUGGGAUCGGCGUCGUCCGAGGGCAUCUCCUUACCCCUCCACACCAUGUAUUCCGCCACCAAACGGUAUGUCGCUCAGUUCUCCAGGAGCCUUUACGUUGAGUACAAAAGCACGGGGAUAGAUAUCCAAUGCCAGGUGCCGUUCUUCGUGGCGACUACGAUGGCUUCCGGCUUCGCCGCGACCUGGCGGCCGUCGGCGUUGGUGCCCACAGCCGACACGUACGCGCGCGCGGCCGUGGGCUGGAUCGGGAAGGGCGGCCCGCUCUGCGUGCCCAACCUCAGGCACCGGCUCCUGGGGUGGUAUUUCGCCACCGUGCCAGGCGGCGUGCAAGACUGGUUCUGCCUGCGCGAGAAUCUGCGGCACAGAAAGAUGCUCCGGAGAGCGAGAUCGCCGAGGGCGUCAGCGUGCAGGCCGCUUGGCCAUGGGAUGCCAUCGAUCGAGUAG